rnacentral:rRNA from 1 species
GGGCUCACACAAGCGGUGGAGCAUGUGGAUCAAUUCGAAGCAACGCGAAGAACCUUACCUGGGUUUGACAUGCAUGGAUGGUCGCCUCGAAAGAGGAGUGAUCUGCCCGCAAGGGUGAAACAUGUACAGGUGCUGCAUGGCUGUCGUCAGCUCGUGCUGUGAAGUGUCGGGUUAAGUCCCUUAACGAGCGAAACCCUUAUCGUUAGUUGCCAGCGGGUCAUGCCGGGAACUCUAACGAGACUGCCGGCGUUAAGCCGGAGGAAGGUGGGGACGACGUCAAGUCAUCAUGGCCUUUAUGCCCAGGGUGUCACACGUGCUACAAUGGAGCGUACAGAGCGAAGCAAGACCGCAAGGUGGAGCAAAUCGCAGAAAACGUUCCUCAGUUCGGAUUGGGGUCUGCAACUCGACCCCAUGAAGCUGGAAUCGCUAGUAAUCGCGUAUCAGCCAUGACGCGGUGAAUGUGUUCCUGAGCCUU